rnacentral:lncRNA from 1 species
CAGUUCUUGUUAAUAAUUUGGGAGAUAAAAUGAUCAAUCCAAACGAUCAGUUCAUCAAAGAUAAUGCACAACUGAAAUCUAAUAGUGACGAUGACAAGAGCGCAACUAACGAAAUGGUAACAAUCAGUAUACCCAGUUUAAGUUAAAUUAUUUGUGUGUGACGUUUGUUGGUCUGCAGGAUGAUGUUGAAGGGCAUAAUGAUUGUGAGACGGACGACAAUUCUGUGAAGGAGCUCGUGAAGAACGU